rnacentral:piRNA from 1 species
UGCUUUGGAUUAAGUACCACAUGGUGUUUUC